ensembl:snRNA U6 U6 spliceosomal RNA
AUGCUCAUUUCGGCAGCACAUACACUAAAAUUAGAAUGAUACAGAGAAGAUUAGCACAGCCCCUGCGCAAGGAUGACAUGGAAAUUUGUGAAGCAUUCCAUAUAACU